GACGAACCGAGCGAACGUUGUUCGGAAUCAUUGGGUUUAAAGGGUCCGUAGGCGGUUUAGUAAGUCAGUGGUGAAAGCCCAUCGCUCAACGGUGGAACGGCCAUUGAUACUGCUAGACUUGAAUUAUUAGGAAGUAACUAGAAUAUGUAGUGUAGCGGUGAAAUGCUUAGAGAUUACAUGGAAUACCAAUUGCGAAGGCAGGUUACUACUAAUGGAUUGACGCUGAUGGACGAAAGCGUGGGUAGCGAACAGG
rnacentral:rRNA from 1 species